AAGUCGUAACAAGGUUUCCGUAGGUGAACCUGCGGAAGGAUCAUUAUCGAGUUAGGGACCUUCACGGGCCCGACCUCCAACCCUGUGUCUACCUUACCAUGUUGCUUCGGCGGGCCCGUUGACCGUUUCGGUUGACCGCCGGAGGGUCUCUUUGGGACCUUCUGGCCCGUGUCCGUCGAUGGCCACCAAUUAAACUCUUUGCAGAAUUGUGUCGUCUGAGUAACAAACAAAAAUAAAACAAAAACUUUCAACAACGGAUCUCUUGGUUCUG
rnacentral:misc_RNA from 1 species